CCUACGGGUGGCAGCAGUGAGGAAUAUUGGUCAAUGGCCGGGAGCCUGAACCAGCCAAGUCGCGUGAGGGAUGACGGCCCUACGGGUUGUAAACUUCUUUUGUACGGGAAUAAGGUGUGGGACGCGUCCUGUUUUGAGUGUACCUGAUGAAUAAGGAUCGGCUAACUCCGUGCCAGCAGCCGCGGUAAUACGGAGGAUCCGAGCGUUAUCCGGAUUUAUUGGGUUUAAAGGGUGCGUAGGUGGAAGGAUAAGUCAGGUGUAAAAGGUUGGGGCUCAACCCCGACACUGCAUUUGAUACUGGCAGUCUUGAGUACAGGAGAGGUAGGCGGAAUGCGUGGUGUAGCGGUGAAAUGCUUAGAUAUCACGAAGAACUCCGAUUGCGAAGGCAGCUUACUGGACCGCAACUGACGCUGAGGCACGAAAGCGUGGGUAUCGAACAGGAUUAGAUACCCGAGUAGUC
rnacentral:rRNA from 1 species